UACGUAGGGGCCUAGCGUUGUCCGGAUUUAUUGGGCGUAAAGAGCUCGUAGGCGGUUUGGUAAGUCGGGUGUGAAAUCUCCACGCUCAACGUGGAGGGGCCACCCGAUACUGCCAUGACUGGAGUCCGGUAGGGGAGUGUGGAAUUCCCGGUGUAGCGGUGAAAUGCGCAGAUAUCGGGAGGAACACCUGUGGCGAAAGCGGCUCACUGGACCACAACUGACGCUGAGGCGCGAAAGCUAGGGGAGCAAACAGGG
rnacentral:rRNA from 1 species